rfam:Erinaceus europaeus unplaced genomic scaffold scaffold00826, whole genome shotgun sequence
GGUUUGUCUCAGCAACUCAUAUACUAAAAUUGGAUCAACAGAGAGAAUAUUAGCAUGGGCCCUGCACAAGGAUUAUAUUUAAAUUAUUGAAAGUUCCAUGAGAAAA